rnacentral:rRNA from 1 species
UAGGGAAUCUUCCACAAUGGGCGAAAGCCUGAUGGAGCAACGCCGCGUGUGUGAUGAAGGCUUUCGGGUCGUAAAGCACUGUUGUAUGGGAAGAACAGCUAGAGUAGGGAAUGACUUUAGUUUGACGGUACCAUACCAGAAAGGGACGGCUAAAUACGUGCCAGCAGCCGCGGUAAUACGUAUGUCCCGAGCGUUAUCCGGAUUUAUUGGGCGUAAAGCGAGCGCAGACGGUUGAUUAAGUCUGAUGUGAAAGCCCGGAGCUCAACUCCGGAAAGGCAUUGGAAACUGGUCAACUUGAGUGCAGUAGAGGUAAGUGGAACUCCAUGUGUAGCGGUGGAAUGCGUAGAUAUAUGGAAGAACACCAGCGGCGAAGGCGGCUUACUGGACUGUAACUGACGUUGAGGCUCGAAAGUGUGGGUAGCAAACA